CUACGGGGGGCUGCAGUGGGGAAUAUUGCGCAAUGGGCGAAAGCCUGACGCAGCAACGCCGCGUGGGUGAUGAAGGCCUUCGGGUCGUAAAGCUCUGUCAGAGGGGAAGAACCGGUAGAUCAGGUAAUGGGUCUGCCCUGACGGUACCCUCAAAGGAAGCACCGGCUAACUCCGUGCCAGCAGCCGCGGUAAUACGGGGGGUGCUAACGUUGUUCGGAAUCACUGGGCGUAAAGCGCGUGUAGGCGGAAUGGUAAGUCAGAUGUGAAAGCCCAGGGCUCAACCCUGGAACUGCAUUUGAAACUACCACUCUAGAGUACGGUAGAGGGAAGGGGAAUUCCCGGUGUAGAGGUGAAAUUCGUAGAUAUCGGGAGGAAUACCAGUGGCGAAGGCGCCUUCCUGGGCCGAUACUGACGCUGAGACGCGAAAGCGUGGGGAGCAAACAGGAUUAGAUACCCCAGUAGUC
rnacentral:rRNA from 1 species